GAUGUCCUUGUCUUAGGGGAGCAUAAUACCCCGUGAUCGUUUAGUGAGGGUGUUGAUGCUGAAACCCGUUAUUUAAAAGAUAACCGCAUCCGGAUCUAUUCCGAGAUGCAAUUUUUGUAGGG
rfam:Harpegnathos saltator strain R22 G/1 HarSal_1.0_2.contig6201, whole genome shotgun sequence.